UACGUAGGGGGCAAGCGUUGUCCGGAUUUAUUGGGCGUAAAGGGUCCGCAGGCGGUUUAGUAAGUUUGACGUGACAGUUCCUGGCUCAACUGGGAAAGUGCGUUGGAAACUGCUAGACUUGAGGGCUUCAGAGGGAUGCGGAAUUCCCGGUGUAGCGGUGAAAUGCGCAGAUAUCAGGAGGAACACCGAUGGCGAAGGCGGGUCUCUGGGCCUUACCUGACGCUGAGGAGCGAAAGCGUGGGGAGCGAACAGGA
rnacentral:rRNA from 1 species